UUGACGUACAAGCCGGAUCCUGGGAAACAGGUUUAACGGGCUCACUGUGGUGGUGGGCCGUCGAUACACUUGUAUGUGCCCCAA
rfam:Tobacco necrosis virus D genomic RNA, complete genome.